AGCUAUAUGAAUAAAUAUAUAGUUAUUUCUGCUCCAUGAUUAUUAAAUAGCCGCAGUACUCUGACUGUGCAAAGGUAGCAUAAUCAGUUGGCUUUUAAUUGAAGUCUGGUAUGAAUGAAAAUAUGGGAGAUAACUGUCUUAGCGUAUUCAUUCGAAUUUAUUUAGUAAGUGCAAAUACUUACAAAUUUAAAAAAGACGAGAAGACCCUAGAAACUUGAAGUAGUUUUUGUUGGGGCGACAGAAUUACAUUUAACUAAUUUUAAUAAACAUGACAUUUAAUUGAAAGAAUAAGUUACUCUAGGGAUAACAGCAUAAUUUUAACAGUUUGUGACCUCGAUGUUGGACUAGGUAUUAUCUCCUUAAGGCAAGGAUAUAAAAUGCUCUGUUCGAGCAAUUUCACCUACAU
rnacentral:rRNA from 1 species